UUAAGUGACUAAGCGUACACGGUGGAUGCCUGGGCAGUCAGAGGCGAUGAAGGACGUACUAACUUGCGAUAAGCGCAGAUAAGGCAGUAAGAGCCGUUUGAGUCUGCGAUUUCCGAAUGGGGAAACCCAACUGCAUAAGCAGUUACUGUUAACUGAAUACAUAGGUUAACAGAGCAAACCGGGGGAACUGAAACAUCUAAGUACCCCGAGGAGAAGAAAUCAACCGAGAUUCCGGUAGUAGCGGCGAGCGAACCUGGAUUAGCCCUUAAGCACUCGGUGAAGUAGGUGAACAAGCUGGAAAGCUUGGCGAUACAGGGUGAUAGCCCCGUAACCGACGCUUCAUCGAGCGUGAAAUCGAGUAGGGCGGGACACGUGAUAUCCUGUCUGAAUAUGGGGGGACCAUCCUCCAAGGCUAAAUACUCCUGACUGACCGAUAGUGAACCAGUACCGUGAGGGAAAGGCGAAAAGAACCCCUGUGAGGGGAGUGAAAUAGAACCUGAAACCGUGUACGUACAAGCAGUAGGAGCACCUUCGUGGUGUGACUGCGUACCUUUUGUAUAAUGGGUCAGCGACUUAUAUUCAGUGGCAAGGUUAACCGUAUAGGGGAGCCGUAGCGAAAGCGAGUCUUAACUGGGCGCUCAGUCUCUGGAUAUAGACCCGAAACCGGGUGAUCUAGCCAUGGGCAGGUUGAAGGUUGAGUAACAUCAACUGGAGGACCGAACCGACUAAUGUUGAAAAAUUAGCGGAUGACUUGUGGCUAGGGGUGAAAGGCCAAUCAAACUCGGAGAUAGCUGGUUCUCCCCGAAAGCUAUUUAGGUAGCGCCUCGGACGAAUACUACUGGGGGUAGAGCACUGUUAAGGCUAGGGGGUCAUCCCGACUUACCAACCCUUUGCAAACUCCGAAUACCAGUAAGUACUAUCCGGGAGACACACGGCGGGUGCUAACGUCCGUCGUGGAGAGGGAAACAACCCAGACCGCCAGCUAAGGUCCCAAAGUAUUGCUAAGUGGGAAACGAUGUGGGAAGGCUCAGACAGCUAGGAUGUUGGCUUAGAAGCAGCCAUCAUUUAAAGAAAGCGUAAUAGCUCACUAGUCGAGUCGGCCUGCGCGGAAGAUGUAACGGGGCUAAGCAAUACACCGAAGCUGCGGCAAUGUCUUUUAGAUAUUGGGUAGGGGAGCGUUCUGUAAGCCGUUGAAGGUGAAUCGUAAGGUUUGCUGGAGGUAUCAGAAGUGCGAAUGCUGACAUGAGUAACGACAAAGGGGGUGAAAAACCUCCUCGCCGGAAGACCAAGGGUUCCUGUCCAACGUUAAUCGGGGCAGGGUGAGUCGACCCCUAAGGUGAGGCCGAAAGGCGUAAUCGAUGGGAAACGGGUUAAUAUUCCCGUACUUCUGACUAUUGCGAUGGGGGGACGGAGAAGGCUAGGUGGGCCAGGCGACGGUUGUCCUGGUUCAAGUGCGUAGGCUUGAGAGUUAGGUAAAUCCGGCUCUCUUUAAGGCUGAGACACGACGUCGAGCUGCUACGGCAGUGAAGUCAUUGAUGCCAUGCUUCCAGGAAAAGCCUCUAAGCUUCAGAUAGUCAGGAAUCGUACCCCAAACCGACACAGGUGGUCGGGUAGAGAAUACCAAGGCGCUUGAGAGAACUCGGGUGAAGGAACUAGGCAAAAUGGUACCGUAACUUCGGGAGAAGGUACGCUCUUGAUGGUGAAGUCCCUCGCGGAUGGAGCUGACGAGAGUCGCAGAUACCAGGUGGCUGCAACUGUUUAUUAAAAACACAGCACUGUGCAAAAUCGCAAGAUGACGUAUACGGUGUGACGCCUGCCCGGUGCCGGAAGGUUAAUUGAUGGGGUUAGCGCAAGCGAAGCUCUUGAUCGAAGCCCCGGUAAACGGCGGCCGUAACUAUAACGGUCCUAAGGUAGCGAAAUUCCUUGUCGGGUAAGUUCCGACCUGCACGAAUGGCGUAAUGAUGGCCACGCUGUCUCCACCCGAGACUCAGUGAAAUUGAAAUCGCUGUGAAGAUGCAGUGUACCCGCGGCUAGACGGAAAGACCCCGUGAACCUUUACUACAGCUUGGCACUGAACAUUGAACCUACAUGUGUAGGAUAGGUGGGAGGCUAUGAAGACGUGACGCCAGUUGCGUUGGAGCCGUCCUUGAAAUACCACCCUUGUAUGUUUGAUGUUCUAACUUAGACCCAUUAUCUGGGUUGAGGACAGUGCCUGGUGGGUAGUUUGACUGGGGCGGUCUCCUCCCAAAGAGUAACGGAGGAGCACGAAGGUGGGCUAAUCACGGUUGGACAUCGUGAGGUUAGUGCAAUGGCAUAAGCCCGCUUAACUGCGAGAAUGACGGUUCGAGCAGGUGCGAAAGCAGGUCAUAGUGAUCCGGUGGUUCUGUAUGGAAGGGCCAUCGCUCAACGGAUAAAAGGUACUCCGGGGAUAACAGGCUGAUACCGCCCAAGAGUUCAUAUCGACGGCGGUGUUUGGCACCUCGAUGUCGGCUCAUCACAUCCUGGGGCUGAAGUCGGUCCCAAGGGUAUGGCUGUUCGCCAUUUAAAGUGGUACGCGAGCUGGGUUUAGAACGUCGUGAGACAGUUCGGUCCCUAUCUGCCGUGGGCGUUGGAAGAUUGAAGGGGGCUGCUCCUAGUACGAGAGGACCGGAGUGGACGAACCUCUGGUGUUCGGGUUGUGUCGCCAGACGCAUUGCCCGGUAGCUAAGUUCGGAAUUGAUAAGCGCUGAAAGCAUCUAAGCGCGAAGCGAGCCCUGAGAUGAGUCUUCCCUGA
rnacentral:rRNA from 1 species